rnacentral:rRNA from 1 species
GUGUACAAAGGGCAUGGAUGAUUACCUCACCAGGUCCAGACAGAGUAAGGAUUGACAGAUUGAUAGCUCUUUCUUGAUUCUUUGGGUGGUGGUGCAUGGCCGUUCUUAGUUGGUGGAGUGAUUUGUCUGGUUAAUUCCGUUAACGAACGAGACCUUAACCUGCUAACUAGCUGCUUGGAUGUUGUCCUCGUUUGCUUCUUAGAGGGACUCCUGUGCUUCAAGCGUGGGGGAAGUUUAAGGCAAUAACAGGUCUGUGAUGCCCUUAGAUGUCCUGGGCUGCACGCGCGCUACACUGAUGCAUCCAUCGAGUUUGUCCUGUCCCGAAAGGGUUGGGUAAUCUUUAGUGUGCAUCGUGUCGGGGAUUGAUUUUUGCAAUUCUAAAUCAUGAACGAGGAAUGCCUAGUAUGCGCAAGUCAUCAGCUUGUGCAGAUUACGUCCCUGCCCUUUUGUA